rnacentral:rRNA from 1 species
CUGGCGGCGUGCCUAAUACAUAGCAAGUCGUACGAGGGAAGUCCAGCUUGCUGGACGGAACGAGUGGCGAACGGGUGAGUAAUACGUAAGCAACCUGCCUGCAAGGACUGGGAUAACACCUGGAAACGGGCGCUAAUACCGGAUAGGUAACAAAGGGGCAUCCCUAUGUUAUUAAAGGUUAGAAACACAAGCAGAUGGGCUUACGGUGCAUUAGCUAGUUGGUGAGGUAACGGCCCACCAAGGCGAUGAUGCAUAGCCGGCCUGAGAGGGUGAACGGCCACAUUGGGACUGAGAGACGGUCCAAACUCCUGCGGGAGGCAGCAGUGGGGAAUAUUGGGCAAUGGGCGAAAGCCUGACCCAGCAACGCCGCGUGAGUGAAGAAGGCCUUCGGGUUGUAAAGCUCUGUUAUAGUUGACGAAGGAAGUGACGGUAGGCUAUAAGGAAGCCCCGGCUAACUACGUGCCAGCCGCGGC